GGUCGACAUUAACUAUGGUAAAGGAGAGGCUUAUGUUUCGUUGGGGCAUUAUAUUUCUGGUUAUCGCGUUAAUUGCCGCCGCAUUG
rnacentral:sRNA from 1 species